ensembl:misc_RNA
UUUUAAUCUGCAUAACAUGCACAGCAACGGCACCACCAACAAAACAGGCUUCCCCACAUUGUCCUGCCAGUGUGCCUCAACCCUGACCUGAAGGAACCACUACUAAUGGUAAAA